rnacentral:rRNA from 1 species
UACGUAGGGAGCAAGCGUUGUCCGGAAUCAUUGGGCGUAAAGCGCGCGUAGGUGGCCUCAUAAGUCCGCUGUGAAAGUCCAAGGCUCAACCUUGGAAAGCCGGUGGAUACUGUGAGGCUAGAGUACGGAAGAGGCGAGUGGAAUUCCUGGUGUAGCGGUGGAAUGCGCAGAUAUCAGGAGGAACACCAAUAGCGAAGGCAGCUCGCUGGGACGUAACUGACGCUGAGGAGCGAAAGCAUGGGGAGCGAACAGG